rnacentral:tRNA from 1 species
GCGCCGGUGGUGUAAGGUUAACAUCGCUGCCCGGAAAGCAGAAGAUGCGGGUUCGAGUCCCGCCUGGAGCA